UAAAAGUCCUUAGUCAACUUAGCGCGGCGAACCAGGUCAGGACCGGAAGGUAGCAGCCUUAAACAAGCGGAGGUGUGGCUGAGGCGCUUUUUUUAU
rnacentral:SRP_RNA from 1 species